UAUUAAACAAGAUAAGAGUUUUUGGUGGAUGCCUUGGGUCUGGAAGUCGAUGAAGGACGUGAUUACCUGCGAUAAGCCUCGGUUAGCUGGAAAUGAGCUGUGAUCC
rnacentral:rRNA from 1 species